AUUGAACGCUGGCGGCAGGCCUAACACAUGCAAGUCGAGCGGAUGAAGGGAGCUUGCUCCUGGAUUCAGCGGCGGACGGGUGAGUAAUGCCUAGGAAUCUGCCUGGUAGUGGGGGAUAACGUCCGGAGACGGGCGCUAAUACCGCAUACGUCCUGAGGGAGAAAGUGGGGGAUCUUCGGACCUCACGCUAUCAGAUGAGCCCAGGUCGGAUUAGCUAGUUGGUGGGGUAAAGGCCUACCAAGGCGACGAUCCGUAACUGGUCUGAGAGGAUGAUCAGUCACGCUGGAACUGAGACACGGUCCAGACUCCUACGGGAGGCAGCAGUGGGGAAUAUUGGACAAUGGGCGAAAGCCUGAUCCAGCCAUGCCGCGUGUGUGAAGAAGGUCUUCGGAUUGUAAAGCACUUUAAGUUGGGAGGAAGGGCAGUAAGUUAAUACCUUGCUGUUUUGACGUUACCAACAGAAUAAGCACCGGCUAACUUCGUG
rnacentral:rRNA from 1 species